UGAUCAUAUUUGGCCUCUCUUAGUGGACAGUCUAUGGUAAAUCUAAUAGUUGGUCUUGAUAGUGAUGCAGGAUGUGAGGUACAACUAUCAAAGUGACAUUAAUUUUGGUUUUGCUUCCUAUCCGCAGCCUCUUCUACACUAGAAAAGGAAAACACUCGACGAUCUGGCUCUGUCUCAGGUAUAUGCUCCCUCGCCCGCAAGAUCCGCUCUCUCCCAUCUAUGCAUCACGGCAGCACUUCAGCUCCUCUUGUGGAUUCUCACCAGAUCAGGCCACCUCACUCACCUUCAGUUGUCAGGACCUCACCGGCAGAUCCCUCAGCUAUCAGGGAAAGCAGCCAUCAGCGGAGAUUGAGGGUGCCUCUCCGGCAAGAGUGCUCGUGUCGUGGUGGUUUCCCACCAGCAGCAUGGGGGAGACGGUGUCCUCUGCAGCUAGGUCUACUUGCUGGCGACCUCACCGUCACCAGCCCAUCUGCAGGGAUGGACAUAUGGAUUGAUUGGUAGGCCCCUGAAAGCUACACAGAUCUGAACCAAUAACUUUAAUAAGAAUGUGUAUCCCAGCUCCUUUUAUAAUCUUGAAUCCUUCUCGGUCCUACUAAACUGUAACUCAUGUUUAUUUUUGGAAACAAUAUUUUGGACAUUCCUAACCUGGUCAAGGGAAUGUAUUGCCCACCUACAGUGAGAGACACAUACGAAGUAGGUCCUACUAAACACCUAAAAGGGUGAGUUACAGUAGGUGUGCAUAGAGUACUAACAUUUUUGCUAUCUUUAUGCUCCUCCAUAUGGAUGGGAACUAAAAGGAUGAUGAUAUUAUUCUACCUUUCAAUAUUUGGUGGUGCAUAUUUAAGAAAAUCACAGCUAAGCAUGUCACUUUCUAAAAAGACGCUUGACU